rnacentral:tRNA from 1 species
GUCUCUGUAACGCAAUGGAUAGCGUGUUGGACUUCUAAUCCAAAAGUCGUGGGUUCGAAUUAUACCUGGGAUG